rnacentral:rRNA from 1 species
CCUACGGGUGGCAGCAGUGGGGAAUAUUGCACAAUGGGGGCAACCCUGAUGCAGCGACGCCGCGUGAGUGAAGAAGUAUCUCGGUAUGUAAAGCUCUAUCAGCAGGGAAGAAAAUGACGGUACCUGACUAAGAAGCCCCGGCUAACUACGUGUCAGCAGCCGCGGUAAUACGGAGGGGGCAAGCGUUAUACGGAUUUACUGGGUGUAAAGGGAGCGUAGACGGCGCGGCAAGUCCGGGGUGAAAGCCCAUGGCUCAACCGUGGAACUGCACUUGAAACUGUUGAGCUUGAGUGCGGGAGAGGACAGCGGAAUUCCUGGUGUAGCGGUGAAAUGCGUAGAUAGAAGGAGGAACACCAGUGGCGAAGGCGGCUUGCUGGACCGUAACUGACGGUGAGGCGCGAAAGCGUGGGGAGCAAACAGGAUUAGAUACCCUAGUAGUC